rnacentral:tRNA from 1 species
GCGCCUGUAGCUCAGCAGGAUAGAGCGACCGCCUCCUAAGCGGUAGGUCGGAGGUUCAAAUCCCCUCAGGCGCGCCA